rnacentral:rRNA from 1 species
GAUGAACGCUGGCGGCGUGCCUAAUACAUGCAAGUCGAGCGAACAGACGAGGAGCUUGCUCCUCUGACGUUAGCGGCGGACGGGUGAGUAACACGUGGAUAACCUGCCUAUAAGACUGGGAUAACUUCGGGAAACCGGAGCUAAUACCGGAUAAUAUAUUGAACCGCAUGGUUCAAUAUUGAAAGACGGAUUUGCUGUCACAUAUAGAUGGAUCCGGGCCGAUUAAGCAAGUUGGUAAGUUAUCGGCUUACCAAGGCAACGAUGCGUAGCCAACCGGAGAGGGGGAUCGGCCACACUGGAACUGAGACACGGUCCAGACUCCUACGGGAGGCAGCAGUAGGGAAUCUUCCGCAAUGGGCGAAAGCCUGACGGAGCAACGCCGCGUGAGUGAUGAAGGUCUUCGGAUCGUAAAACUCUGUUAUUAGGGAAGAACAAAUGUGUAAGUAACUAUGCACGUCUUGACGGUACCUAAUCAGAAAGCCACGGCUAACUACGUG